rnacentral:rRNA from 1 species
CCCUUAGAUGUUCUGGGCAGCACGCGCGCUACAAUGGUCUUCGCAAACGGAUGCAUUCUCGAAGGAGAAUGCCAAUCUUGGAAUCUAUGCCUUGUCGGGACAGUUGCUUGCAAUUUUUCGACUCGAACCAGGAAUUCCUUGUAAUCGUGAUUCAUCACAUCACGAUGAAUACGUCCCUGCCCUUUGUACACACCGCCCGUCGCUCCUACCGAUCGAAGAGUUAGGUGAAUUGUUUUGAUCGAUAAGAUUUGACUAUGGUCAACUCUCGUUGUGAAAUUCUGUGAAUCUGACUGUUUAGAGGAAGGAAAAGUCGUAACA